rnacentral:rRNA from 1 species
GAUGAACGCUGGCGGCGUGCCUAAUACAUGCAAGUCGAACGCAUAGCGAAAGGUGCUUGCACCUUUCAAGUGAGUGGCGAACGGGUGAGUAACACGUGGACAACCUGCCUCAAGGCUGGGGAUAACAUUUGGAAACAGAUGCUAAUACCGAAUAAAACUUAGUGUCGCAUGACACAAAGUUAAAAGGCGCUUCGGCGUCACCUAGAGAUGGAUCCGCGGUGCAUUAGUUAGUUGGUGGGGUAAAGGCCUACCAAGACAAUGAUGCAUAGCCGAGUUGAGAGACUGAUCGGCCACAUUGGGACUGAGACACGGCCCAAACUCCUACGGGAGGCUGCAGUAGGGAAUCUUCCACAAUGGGCGAAAGCCAGAUGGAGCAACGCCGCGUGUGUGAUGAAGGCUUUCGGGUCGUAAAGCACUGUUGUAUGGGAAGAACAGCUAGAAUAGGAAAUGAUUUUAGUUUGACGGUACCAUACCAGAAAGGGACGGCUAAAUACGUG